GCUGGCGGCGUGCUUAACACAUGCAAGUCGAACGGUGAAGGGACCRGCUUGCUGGUUCUGGAUGAGUGGCGAACGGGUGAGUAACACGUGAGUAACCUGCCCCCUUCUUCUGGAUAACCGCAUGAAAGUGUGGCUAAUACGGGAUAUUCUGCGCCUGCUGCAUGGUGGGUGUGGGAAAGAUAUUGUUUCGGUGGGGGAUGGGCUCGCGGCCUAUCAGCUUGUUGGUGGGGUGAUGGCCUACCAAGGCGGUGACGGGUAGCCGGCCUGAGAGGGUGGACGGUCACACUGGGACUGAGACACGGCCCASACUCCUACGGGAGGCAGCAGUGGGGAAUAUUGCACAAUGGGCGCAAGCCUGAUGCASCGACGCCSCGUGAGGGAUGGAGGCCUUCGGGUUGURAACCUCUUUCKCCAGUGAARCAGGCCCUGYCCCUUUUGUGGGUGGGUUGACGGUAG
rnacentral:rRNA from 1 species